UACGUAGGGAGCAAGCGUUGUCCGGAAUCAUUGGGCGUAAAGCGCGCGUAGGCGGCUCGAUAAGUCUGUUGUGAAAGUCAAAGGCUCAACCUUUGAAUGCCGAUGGAUACUGUCGAGCUAGAGUCCGGAAGAGGCGGGUGGAAUUCCUGGUGUAGCGGUGGAAUGCGCAGAUAUCAGGAGGAACACCAACGGCGAAGGCAGCCCGCUGGGACGGUACUGACGCUGAGACGCUAAAGCGUGGGGAGCAAACAGG
rnacentral:rRNA from 1 species